rnacentral:rRNA from 1 species
GUGCACCAGUCGAGAAUAGUCUACAAUGGACGAAAGUCUGAUAGUGCGACGCCGUGUGUGCGAUUAAUUCCUUCGGGAUGUAAAGCACUUUUCUAUGAGAUAAAAGCUCUUUAGGUUAAUAGCUUAUUGAGACGGAUAUUAUUAUAGGAAUAAGCUCCGGCUAACUCCGUGCCAGCAGCCGCGGUAAUACGGAAGGAGCGAGCGUUGUCCGGAUUUACUAGGCGUAAAGGGCUAGUAGGCGACUAAUUAAGUUAUAUGUUAAAUCCCACGGCUCAACUGCGGUCCUGCAUGUAAUACUGGUUAGAUAGAGUACUGUAGAGGAAGGCAGAAUUCCUGGAGUAGCGGUGGAAUGCGCAGAUAUCAGGAAGAAUACCAAAAGCGAAGGCAGCCUUCUGGCAGUUACUGACGCUGAAUAGCGAAGGUGUGGUAGCGAGCAGGAUUA